GACGAACGCUGGCGGCGUGCUUAACACAUGCAAGUCGAGCGGUAAGGCCCUUUCGGGGUACACGAGCGGCGAACGGGUGAGUAACACGUGGGUGACCUGCCCUCAGCUCUGGGAUAAGCCUGGGAAACUGGGUCUAAUACUGGAUAUGACUCCACGGUGCAUGUCGUGGGGUGGAAAGCCUUGUGCGGCUGAGGAUGGGCCCGCGGCCUAUCAGCUUGUUGGUGGGGUGANGGCCUACCAAGGCGACGACGGGUAGCCGGCCUGAGAGGGCGACCGGCC
rnacentral:rRNA from 1 species